UCGGGGUCCUUCUGACCCUCGGACUUCAUGUGUGUGUCUUCAGGAGCCUGCAGGACCACUGUGGGGCCACUGCCACCCUGUGGGGUGGUCCGGGGAGCCGAGGAGCAUGGACACCGUCUUCUCCUUCCAGCAGGCACAGGUAUGGAAGGAGACUGAGGCUGGUCUUGGAUGGACACUUGUUAUUGCAGUCAGAGUCCAUCUGGAUAAUCCUGGAUAAAUCUCAUCUGGAGAUCCUUCACCAGAUCACAUCGGCAAUGACCUGUUCCCCAAAUAAGGCCCUGUGCACAGGUUCUGGGGGACAUAUCUUGUAAUUGAAGACGUCUCACCAUAGCGGCCAGCCGUGCAACCACUGGGCCUGUCUGUGCCUGAACAACACACUGGCCUGCCUUUGCCUGAACAAGACAGCCUUAGUCUCAAAGCUUGCAGAUGGGUGUGGCCUGGUAGAAAAUUCUCAAGACAACGGCGGAGCACGCUUGCCCCUAGGAGACCAAGUGGCCGGAAUGUUGAGAAUCAGCCUUUCGCAGAAAUCCCCUAAGCGGGAGGCAGCAGGCUGACUCCAUCAGCCCCAGGCAGGCUUCUGGGCCCUGCAGCUAUGGCUCUUCAUCCUUUUACAUGUUCUUCGAGAAUCAGCUGCACCCUGGAUGCUUCUGACAGCUCAGAGGACAUCAGCAUGAGGACAAGCACAGGGCUUGAUGGCUCGGAGGGAAAUGGAGUUGGAAGAUUUGGACUUAAUGUGCACACAUUUUAGAAAUAUCUUAACAAAUUUUAUUUUGCUGAUAUCUUUCUUUUUUGUGUGUGCCAAAGUGAUGGCCAGUACAAAUCCAUGUCUAAUUAAGUCCAGAAGAGCUCCUUCAAUAAGCGUAAGAUGAAAGUUAUGAGUGAUAAGAAAGCGUCAUGUCAGUUUAAUUGGCAGCAUUUUCUCUUUCUUAGUGGUUCAUAAAAUAAGGCAGUGCUUUGCUAUCGACGG
rnacentral:lncRNA from 10 species